AUCGCUAAUACCGCAUAACGUCCGGAUGGGACAUCCUGUCUGGACCAAAGGAGAAAUCCGCUGAGAGAUGGGCUCGCGUCCAAUUAGCUGGUUGGCGGGGUAAAGGCCCACCAAGGCGACGAUUGGUAGCCGGACUGAGAGGUUGAACUGCCACAUUGGGACUGAGACACGGCCCAGACUCCUACGGGAGGCAGCAGUGGGGAAUAUUGCACAAUGGGGGGAACCCUGAUGCAGCGACGCCGCGUGAGGGAAGAAGGUUUUCGGAUUGUAAACCUCUGUCCUCUGUGACGAUAAUGACGGUAGCAGAGGAGGAAGCCACGGCUAACUACGUGCCAGCAGCCGCGGUAAUACGUAGGUGGCGAGCGUUAUCCGGAAUUACUGGGUGUAAAGGGAGCGUAGGCGGGGGAACAAGUUGAAUGUUUAAGAUAUGGGCUCAACUCAUAUAAGCGUUCAAAACUGUUUUUCUUGAGUGAAGUAGAGGUAAGCGGAAUUCCUAGUGUAGCGGUGGAAUGCGUAAAUAUUAGGAGGAACACCAGUGGCGAAGGCGGCUUACUGGGCUUUAACUGACGCUGAGGCUCGAAAGCGUGGGUAGCAAACAGGAUUAGAUACCCUGGUAGUCCACGCUGUAAACGA
rnacentral:rRNA from 1 species